rnacentral:siRNA from 1 species
CAAACAGAUAAUCGGUAGCCUC